UCAGGAUGAACGCUAGCUACAGGCUAACACAUGCAAGUCGAGGGGCAGCAUUGGGAUAGCUUGCUAUUCAGAUGGCGACCGGCGCACGGGUGAGUAACGCGUAUCCAACCUUCCUGCCAGUAGGGAACAGCCCGGCGAAAGUCGGAUUAAUGCCCUAUGUUCUUCAAUGCGGACAUCUAAGUUGAAGGAAAGAUUCAUCGCUGGCAGAUGGGGAUGCGUCCGAUUAGCUUGCCGGCGGGGUAACGGCCCACCGGGGCGACGAUCGGUAGGGGUUCUGAGAGGAAGGUCCCCCACACUGGUACUGAGACACGGACCAGACUCCUACGGGAGGCAGCAGUGAGGAAUAUUGGUCAAUGGGCGUAAGCCUGAACCAGCCAAGUAGCGUGCCAGGAUGACGGCCCUACGGGUUGUAAACUGCUUUUAUGCGGGGAUAAAGUGCGGCACGUGUGCCGCUUUGCAGGUACCGCAUGAAUAAGGACCGGCUAAUUCCGUGCCAGCCGCCGC
rnacentral:rRNA from 1 species